CGGCAAACGGGUGCGGAACACGUACAGAACCUUCCUUUAAGUGGGGGAUAGCCCGGAGAAAUCCGGAUUAAUACCCCGUAAGAUUAUGGUGUGGCAUCACACAGUAAUUAAAGAUUUAUCGCUUAGAGAUGGCUGUGCGGCUGAUUAGGUAGUUGGCGGGGUAAAGGCCCACCAAGCCUGCGAUCAGUAACUGGUGUGAGAGCACGACCAGUCACACGGGCACUGAGACACGGGCCCGACUCCUACGGGAGGCAGCAGUAAGGAAUAUUGGUCAAUGGACGCAAGUCUGAACCAGCCAUGCCGCGUGAAGGAUUAAGGCCCUCUGGGUUGUAAACUUCUUUUAUCUGGGACGAAACACUCUUAUUCUUAAGAGCUUGACGGUACCAGAGGAAUAAGCACCGGCUAACUCCGUGCCAGCAGCCGCGGUAAUACGGAGGGUGCAAGCGUUAUCCGGAUUCACUGGGUUUAAAGGGUGCGUAGGUGGGUUUGUAAGUCAGUGGUGAAAUCUCCGUGCUUAACAUGGAAACUGCCAUUGAUAC
rnacentral:rRNA from 1 species